AAAACGACUCUCGCUUGCAACGGAUAUCUCGGCUCUCGCAUCGAUGAAGAACGUAGCGAAAUGCGAUACUUGGUGUGAAUUGCAGAAUCCCGUGAACCAUCGAGUCUUUGAACGCAAGUUGCGCCCCAAGCCUUCUGGCCGAGGGCACGUCUGCCUGGGUGUCACAA
rnacentral:rRNA from 1 species